rnacentral:rRNA from 1 species
UCGAGAAUCUUCGGCAAUGGGCGCAAGCCUGACCGAGCGACGCCGCGUGGAGGACGAAGGCCUUCGGGUUGUAAACUCCUGUCGAGGGGGAAGAAGGGCCCUUAAAAGCCUUGACUGAUCCCUGGAGGAAGCACGGGCUAAGUUCGUGCCAGCAGCCGCGGUAAGACGAACCGUGCGAACGUUAUUCGGAAUCACUGGGCUUAAAGCGCGUGUAGGUGGGGCGGCACGUCCGACGCUGAAAUCCCCCGGCUUAACCGGGGAACUGGCGGGGAUACGACCGUCCUCGAGGGACGUAGGGGGACCUGGAACUUCCGGUGGAGCGGUGAAAUGCGUUGAGAUCGGAAGGAACGCCCGUGGCGAAAGCGAGGUCCUGGACGUUUUCUGACACUGAGACGCGAAAGCCAGGGGAGCGAACG